CAUGAGCGAUGAUGGUCCCUCCAGACAAGGUUAGGGAGCAGCCACUUCCUCUAGAAUAUUUCUUCUUGGCUUCCUGGAGGCCAUGGGCUUUGCUCAGCUAUAGGAGCUUUCAGUCCUUCAGAUAUAGUAAUGAGCCAUGAGGUCUGCCUUCCUCACCAUAAGAUUGUCAAGAUGCCACAUGAUCCCUUCCAAAGUCAGGAUGGAAAUAAUGAACACGAGGAGGUGGAUGACUCCGAGCUGUCAUGAUAAAAUGUGAAGUCUUUCUGUUUGCCUUGAAUGGUGGCAGCUCACACCAUUCAAAGAGUUUAGUAGUGACUCUAAAAAUAAUCAGGGUCAUCUGGUGCUGGCUCUCUGACCCUGGACUGAAGGUCUUGGCUCCAGUUAAGGGUCUUUUCCAAAUGACUGAUUCCUUCUAGGUUCGCGUAUUGCUCCCUGUGCUUGUCCUCUCCUGCUGAGGGUGGUAAGAACUCUGCUUUUACUAGCCUCUGAGGACUCUGCUAUGCCUUGUGGCUUUCCUACACUUUGUUCUUCCUUUUGUAAAGAGCUUCUUUAUUAAACACUCCUCAAAUUCUUCUAA